AGCACCCUCUCUCCACUGGCUUCUGUGUUGAUAUGGCCUCAGACCAAUGCUGCUAGCAGGUAGAUGGCCUAGGUGGCCCUGGUUACAGCAGUGUGGGUCUCUCUAAAAGAGCUUUGAGCUGGACUCCAGAGAGCACAGGUCAGUCAGAUCCAAUCAGACGGGCAUAGGGAGGAGUGGGGGUGCUACAUGGGCAAAGGAAUUUCUAUGUCCUUCCGGACGCUUAUCUGAUCAUUCUUUCCUCCUCUGUUGCUCUAGGGUAUGUGGAUCAUUAACAAAAUACACAUACACAGUAAGGCCUUAUUGACCAGAAGUUGAGAAACAGCAGUUAUAAAGACCAUGCAUGUGACUCCAGAUAAGAGAGGAUGCUACACCCUGUCCUGUGAAGCUAUGAAGAACCAAGAAAUGUCACGCAAACAUUACACACAGGGUGGUUUCCAGGAAGGAGAAGGCCCUCCAACCAAGCACUGUCUGGCCAUGCCUGAGCUUUUGUGCAGCCUCUUCAGGCUGGAACAGUGUCUGCGCCAGGCCCAGACAUGGUGUGCACUCAGCAGGUGGAAGUUGUUAUCCCUGGCCACCAUCAGGGAGCUGAAGUCUUUAGUGACUUGAGGAGGGAGUCAUGGACACCUGCGUGAAGACCACAGCUCCAUCACUUCUUCUCAAACAAGCUCAGUUUGGUAUAGAAACAUAUAAAUGGAGCUGAAGAGAGGCCCUUCAAUAUUCGCUUCAUCCAGGGAGUCAGGAGACAUACGAGUGGAAGUGAGGUGGCGGGUACCAGCAGAUUUGGCCUUUUCUGAAAGAACUGUGCAGGCAUGGGAAAGAGUCCUAGCAGAUGCAAUAAUAAAUUAAUAAAGAGGA
rnacentral:lncRNA from 10 species